UGCCCGAUUGUGUAAUGGUAGCACGACAGACUCUGACUCUGUUUGUCUGGGUUCAAAUCCUAGUCGGGCAACCA
rnacentral:tRNA from 1 species